rnacentral:rRNA from 1 species
GACAGAGGAUGCAAGCGUUAUCCGGAAUGAUUGGGCGUAAAGCGUCGGUAGGUGGCUUUUAAGUCCGCCGUCAAAUCCCAGGGCUCAACCCUGGACAGGCGGUGGAAACUACCAAGCUGGAGUACGGUAGGGGCAGAGGGAAUUUCCGGUGGAGCGGUGAAAUGCGUAGAGAUCGGAAAGAACACCAACGGCGAAGCAACUCUGCUGGGCCGACACUGACACUGGAGAGACGAAAGCUAGGGGAGC